AAUUACUUGAGCCCAGUAGGCAGAGGUUGCAGUGAACCGAGAUUCCACCACUGCACUCCAGCCUGGGCGACAAGAGGGAGACCCUGUCUCAAAAAAAGACGCUAGAACACAGGAAGAGAAGGGAGCAAGCCAGUGUAGAGAAUUGGGAUAGAUCUGGAUUAAAUGGGAGAUUAGACCUAGAGCUCUGAAACUUCAGCUUUUGAUACUCAUUUAAAGUGACCUGGCUGCCUUCAGUGCCUGGAAAGCCUUGGGCUUGCACUGAGAAGUUCUACUUCUUCAUAACUGAGUCUUAUCCGGCCCAUGCACACAGCAUUUCAAAGACAGAUCAUGAGCUACAUUUCUUUACUGAGGAGGCAAAAUUUGGAUACCUUGCCUGUGCUUAAGGUAAAAUAUUAAAAUACAAAACAAAACACAGACUUUUGGCUAAUUACCAUAGUAUCUGAGUACUACACUUGAUAAAAUAAAAAUCUGUACAGAAUGAGCAUAGACAGUUUGGGACUGCACAGUAACUGAUUAGGAACUAAAAAUGGUUUAUCAUAUUUUCUCUAAUGCAAAAAUGAUAUAAAAUCACAAAUAUUAAUUUCUCAUUCUUUGCUGGUCAACUUAACAUUCGAGACAAAGUCUUUAUCAUGCACCAAAGAUAACAGUUUAUCUUCAAGAAUAGGAUUCUUGGCAUAGGAAUAGUUUCCUUUAUUGUUUAAAAAUAGUAACAGAAUAAGAAACUACUUUGACAUGAUAGCUUACCAAGCCCAAAGAUUCUGAUAUAGAGAUAAAUGAAUCCUUCUGUAACUAUCUGUGUCUUUUUUUUAGUUAAUAUUCUGUCCCAGAUUCUUGAAAACAGGCAAUAAUCACCUACAUUCCCACCUGUUUGUUUUCCAAAUAUGUACGACGUCAGGAUCUGUGAUUUUUUUGUUUUCAGCCUGGGCGUCCAAAAAGUCAAAAAAGUAUUUUAUAGCAAAUGGAGCUCUGCUGUUGGGUAAACUCCAAAUGCUUCUAAAAAGUUUUUCAAGCACAGAAUGAAUUGCCACCUGAAAGACAGACAACAUCAGAUUUGGGAGAUUAAAAACUGUGGUAGUGGUUUGGAAAAUGUAAUAGCAAAAUCUAAUCCAAAUUCAGGGAAAAUAAUGUGCAAAACAGGGAAAAACAAACUGAAGAGAAAAAUGUAAAAUUGUCAAAUGAGGCCAGUGCUCACAGUAUGGGACAAAAGUCCUGAAAAUCCAUGCCCAGGUUUAGAUUUGGUUCAUAAGCUUCUUGCUGAUAACAACAUUGUUUAGUCAACUGGGAGGAUAUCUCAGAAAUCUCUAGCAGUUGAAAUGUCAGUUGUAGGGCUGUUUACAUAAACCAGGAAGCCACGGAUAUUUGGCUUUUAUUAUGUUCAGCCUGGAAAAGCUCAAGUGAUGCUGCUCUGUUCCCAGAAUUUUUCCUGUUGCAUAUAUUUCUAUCAUAAGGUUUUAUUGUGUACUUUCCAAAGCAUUUGAGUAUUUUACAAAAGCCAAAUACGCUGAGCUCUAUGGGACAGCUGAGAAAAUCAAGAGGCUUGGACUGUCCUCUGCCCACUAAACAAAUCUCCUAAGCUCUAAGCAGAUUCUUUGUUAUAAUCUGAAGAAGCAUGCCCAUCAAGUUACUGGGGCCAAGUGUAGAUAAUAGCAUUUAUAGUGCUCAUCAUUCCAGAGGGGGAGAAAAAAAAGAUCACCACAGACUUCUGUUAAUUCCACUAAAAGCCAGAUAAAGUAAAAUUUGCUCCCAGUUUGGUAUUCCACCGGCUUUCACAUCUGACACUUUUAUGUGUGAGCAGAAUUCUUAAUUUUAAAAUGAAAAACAAAAAUCAGUAAGAUUUAGUAGGUUUAUAGCCAUUGACCCUUCCCAUCCUCUUCAUUUUAUUUGCAAUUCAAAAAGGGAGUUUUAUUGCACAUCUAUAAUAACAAGUAAACAAAAAGGAAUAAUUAUGCUGUCAACCUAAAAAAUAACAAUAAUAAUGAAAUGGUAGGGAAAGAUACUGGGAACAAUAUUAAAUCUCUGACUGAAGAUACUACAGCACAAAUUUGUAAAGUGCUAUUAUCUUUGUAGUGUAUAAAAAGAAGAACGGGGUAGGAAGUGUUUACAAUUUAAACUUUCAUUUUGCUUUGCUAGAAGGCACAAGGGAUUUGUAACAUUUUCACACUUCAGUGGAAAUUAAGUCAAACAUAUCAUACACCCCCUAGGUAGCCAUCAAGUGCUCCCAGAACAGUAAGUGUACCUUGGUCGACAGCAGCUUUGUCAGAUACAUUUCUUUUACUUUGAACUUGUGCUUCCCUCGAUGUCUCUUUCCUUGCACAUCUUGGAAUGCUUCCGAAUCUGGUAAAAUCUGAAGGGAAGACAGCAGAAGCGUUACCCAAGGAGACCAGCCAUGCUACAGAAGGCAUGCAAUUCAGUGGCUCUUCAAAAGGCCCAAUCUUUGAAACCUAAAACCACAGCUCUUCCACUUUUCAACACAAAGACACCAUCCCCCUUAAGCUGGAAUGAUAGCAACACUGCAAGACGGCUUCACCACAGCCCCAUGUAGUGAUGGAAGGUGGGUUUCCCCAAAGGAGUCCUACCCAAUCAUCCUGUCUGUAUAAUCAGGAGCCCCACAUUCCCUGUUUGCACUGACCAGAUGCUCCCUGCUCCUUCUAAUAGUGAAUCCAGGAGUCAGGAAGCCCUACCUCUGGCUGUGUGAAAGGAGCCUGUUUGGUAGGAGCUCAGAACCUUUCCAAGGGCUGAGAGCUGAUUGUCUUGACUGGGGUAUAAUUUCUCUGGAGACAAACCUGGAACAGGAAUUUCCUGCCCCAGGGCUAUCAGGGAAGCAGAAAAUCACUUUAGAGACCAGCCUAUUGACUUUCCCAUAAAAGUUCCCCCUUUAGUUUGUCUCUCUCCAAUUUCUGGGAAUUUCACAAGUGCUAUCACAGGAGACUUGGACCUUCUAAGUGGAUUAUCUUGUUGGUUCAGCGCUUGCUGUGGGGCUGUGUGAUGAUUAUCUGUACUCUUCCCUCUCAGUUUGCCAGGGGGAUCUCCUCUGUUAGCCCCCAUCCUUCUAAAGAGUUGGAAAAAAGCUAUGAGAUUCUGCCCUGAGCUUAGGGCUAUAAAGAGGCAGCCAUUUCCUCAGUGCUGGGCAGUCCAGGCCAACCACCAUUUAUAGUUUCCUUUCCUUCUUGCAGGGAUCACAUUCUUAGGACUGGAAAGAGAUCGAAAUGGCUUUUCUCAGCUUUCAGAGAAUUACAUAGUAACAACUCAAUCUCACCUUUGUGACAAUACAGCUGAGAGAGACAAAAAGCAAUACUUUAUGAAGCUGGGUGAGAACAAAAUGUUACAAUAUUGGUUACCUGAAGUAAAAUUUGCUAUCUUCUUAAAGACUUUUAUAGUGGAUCCAUUUGAUAUCUGAAACCAAAGAUAAAAGAUAUAUGAGUUUUCAAAAUUUAAUGGAUUUCUCAACUUCACCCAGGAAUUAGAUGGCUGGAUGGAUCUUACAUGCUCUCACUUAUUAAAUCAAAUAUUUAUCAAGAAUUACUAAGUUCUGGGCACUGCGCUGGAGGCUGGGACUAAAUGACAAGCAAGACAGUCUCUCUGUCCUCAAGGGGCUCAUGGUCCUGUGGAGGAGGCUGAUGAGGCCAUGGGAGGCAGUAGGGUAGUACGCAGAAGGUGGAGGCCAGGACUCUGUGGGACAGAUGGAAGGUGGGCAAGCCCUGGAAGAGGGGAAGACUGAACUUUGUUAGGACAUUCCCCCCAAUUCUCAGAGGCCAGGAAAGACCUAGGCCAGUUUCAUUUUUUGAGGUUAAAAAAUUGUUACUUGCUGUGGACUGAAUGUUUGUGUCUCCUCCAGAUUCCUAUGUUGAAAUCCUAAUCCCAGUGUGAUGGUAUUAGGAGGCAGGGCUUUUGGGAGGCUAGGUCAUGAGGUUGGAGCCCUCAUGAUGGGAAUAGUGCCCUUAUAAGAAGAGACACCAGGGCCGGGCGUGGUGCCCCACUCCUGCGAUCCCGGCACUUUGGAAGGAAGAAGAGGAGGAUCACUCUCAGGAGUUCUGAGACCAGCCUGGGCAACAUACAGAGACCCCUCUCUACAAAAACAUAUUUAAAAAUUAGCUGGGCGCAUUGGUGCACACCUGUAGUCCCAGCUACCUGGGAGGCUUGGGCGGAGAAUCACUUGAGCCCAGAAACUCAAGGCUGCAGUGAGCCCUGACUGUGCCACUCUACUCCAGCCUGGGCGACAGAGUGAGACCUUAUCUCUAAACAGAGGAGGAAAAGGAAGAGACAGCAGAGCUUGCUGGUCCCCUCUGCUUUCCACCACACAAGGAUACAAGACGAUGGCUCUCAGCAAACCAGGAGGAGGGUCCUCACCGAGCUACUAGUACUUUGCCCUGACUGUGAACUUCCAGUCUCUGGAACUAUUAAGAAAGAAAUGUCUAAGCCACUCAGUCAAUGGUAUUCUGUUAAAGCAGCCCUAACUGACUAUGACACUACUCUAUUAAGAAAUGCUGAAACAGGUUUUCAGAAAUUGUGGUAUAUAAAGUUGGUGUCUACCCUAUGACAGAGCCGUUUCACAUGUAGGUCUUUAGUCCACAGAAAUAAGUAUAAAUCCUGAUAGGGAGCUAUUUGUAAUUGUCCCAGACUGGAAACAACUCAAACAUCCAUCAUUAGAAUAAUUGGGAGCAUAUUCAUACAACAGAUUAUAAAGCAAUGAAAAUGAGCAAACUACUGUUACACGCCACAUGGUUACCAUCAUAAUGUUGAGCAGAAGCAGCUCGACAGAAAAGAAAGUAUACUGAAUGAUUCCAUUUACAUAGAGCUUGAAAACAAAAAAAAAAAACCCAAACGGUCAAAACUAUCAUGUUAGAUAUUUGGAGACGAGAGCAGUGGCAGUGAUUAGGAAAGGCCAGAAGAGGGCUUCUAUUUUUUGACAUGGGUGGUAGUUUCAGGACAUGCUCACUUGGUGAUAAUUCAUCCAGCAGUAUGCUUAUAAUUUAUUUAUUUUUCUAUAGGUAUAUACAGGUGGAGCAUCCCGAAUCUGAAAAUUCAAAAUGUUCCAAAAUCUGAAACUUUCUGGGUGCUGACAUGGUGCCACAAGUGGAAAAUUCCACACCUCAUCUCAUGAUAACAUGUCACAGUCAAAACCCUAUAAAAACUUUGAUUUGUGCACAAAUUAUAUAAAAUUACCUUCAGGCUCUGUGUAUAAGGUAUUUACGAAACAUUAAUAAAUUCUGUGUUUAAACGUG